AAAAAAGAAAAAAGAAGAACCUGCAACCUUAUUAUUAUUCUACACGAUUUAUUAAUUGGUUACAAAAGAAAGCCCUUAACAAGAAAGUAUCUCGGCCGCCGUGCUGCUGGGGCUGAAGCCAUAAUUAAAUAAUUAUAGCCGCAAUCAUAUCCUCUGCUGCAUGAUCUUUAAUGAGGUUGCUAGAUUUUGAGCAAUGAAAAAGGUCACAAAUUUGUCGAAAACGAUGUCAAUAUAAAUACACAACACACACACACACACACACUGUUAUAACAAAAGUAAAAAUUGCAGAUAACAUCAAAUAAAUGAAUGCCAAGCAGCAAGACAACAGAAAUGAAAAAGUAAAUGGAGGAGAAAAAGACGAGGAAGGCAGAGAGCCAGGGAAGAGGCAGUGCAUGGGAGGAGCCAAAACAGAGGACCUGUUAAUGGUUCCAUCCAUGCUCUGCCUGUUCCCCGUCUUUUGUCUCUUGCUUCUUGCCUUUCUCUCACGCACACACCAAAGAGUUAUUAUUACCUCGUACCCCUUUACCAUUGCCGUCUCAGAGUCCGGCUCUCACUCCCUCAAAAACCUUACCUGGGCUGCAAUGCUCAGGCUCAGGCUCACAAAGGAAGAUAACAAGUGUUGAUGUUAAAUAGUACACGCAUGUUAUGUACUAUCGCAUCCUCCGUGGACUAGCUUGCCCUUGUACUACCAAUUUCAUAUAAAUGUUUUGAUUUUGAAUAUCGG
rnacentral:lncRNA from 1 species